ACUUCUAAAUUUUGUCUGGGAAGAAGCUUUGAUAUUUGCUCCAAAAGAUUUCAGCUGCUGAAAACAAGCGUCUAAAAUAUGUCGGAGUGGGAGGCGGACCCGGAGUAACGACGGAGUCUCAAUAUAUUAUUUUUUGAAAGUUGAGCACCUGGGAAAUACAGAAGUUUCCAGAAUUUCUGCCUCUGCUGUGUCUCUUCUAUGGAUAAAUAAAGAAAUGAAAAAUAACAUCAGGGACCACUAAGAUGUCCUGGGGGAA
rnacentral:lncRNA from 1 species